AUUGAACGCUGGCGGCAUGCCUUACACAUGCAAGUCGAGCGGCAGCGGGAAAGUAGCUUGCUACUUUUGCCGGCGAGCGGCGGACGGGUGAGUAAUGCCUGGGGAUCUGCCCAGUCGAGGGGGAUAACUACUGGAAACGGUAGCUAAUACCGCAUACGCCCUACGGGGGAAAGCAGGGGACCUUCGGGCCUUGCGCGAUUGGAUGAACCCAGGAGGGAUUAGCUAGUUGGUGAGGUAAUGGCUCACCAAGGCGACGAUCCCUAGCUGGUCUGAGAGGAUGAUCGGACACACUGGAACUGAGACACGGUCCAGACUCCUACGGGAGUCAGCAGUGGGGAAUGUUGCACAAUGGGGGAAACCCUGAUGCAGCCAUGCCGCGUGUGUGAAGAAGGCCUUCGGGUUGUAAAGCACUUUCAGCGAGGAGGAAAGGUUGGUAGCUAAUAACUGCCAGCUGUGACGUUACUCGCAGAAGAAGCACCGGCUAACUCCGUGCCAGCCGCCGCCGUAAGAC
rnacentral:rRNA from 1 species